rnacentral:rRNA from 1 species
GUCCUUUUGAUUUUUAUUUAAGGUUUGACCUGCCCACUGAAAAUUUUUAAAUGGCCGCAGUAAUUUGACUGUGCAAAGGUAGCAUAAUCAUUAGUUUUUUAAUUAAAAGCUUGUAUGAAAGGUUGGACGAAAUAAAAUCUGUCUUUAUUUAAAUUAUAAUAUAAUUUAACUUUUAAGUUAAAAGGCUUAAAUUUUAUUAAAAGACGAGAAGACCCUAUAGAUCUUUAUAAAUUUUUUUAUAAUUUUAAUUAUGAUUUUUUUAUUUUUUAUAUAAAAAUUUAUUUUAUUGGGGUAAUGGAAAGAUUUGUUUAAUUCUUUUUUAUUAUUUACAUUGAUUUAUGAUUUUGAUGAUCCAUUUUUAUUGAUUAUAAGAUUAAGUUACCUUAGGGAUAACAGCGUAAUUUUUUUAGAGAGUUCAUAUCGAUAAAAAAGUUUGCGACCUCGAUGUUGGAUUAAAAAUUAUCUUAGGUGCAGAAUUUUAAGAUUUUGGUCUGUUCGACCAUUAAAUUUUU